AUGGAGCGCACAAGCUGGGCAGUUGAGAUGCAUCCUCCGUUGCCUCCGUCAAAUGCGCGGAAGGCCUCGGCAACCUGCAAGUGGUCUACUGAGAUAGAGGAGCGACAAGGUCAGAGGAGAAGCUGCGAAGGAGAGGUGACCUCGUCGACGCUGUUACCAUCAGUGUACCGAUCUCGUCCCGUGCGGGGUAGGAGGCCGAGCGAGCGGGAGCGUGAUUAUCUCAAGCCUGCUAGUCUUGCCGCCGUCGACGUUAAGCAAGAUGUCCAGGGCAAACGUUUGAUCAACGCAAGCAACGCUAAUCUGCUGAUGGUUCAAGGCAGCACCCAUUCAUCAUUUAUACAUACAUAA
rnacentral:rRNA from 1 species